rnacentral:rRNA from 1 species
CCUACGGGAGGCAGCAGUGGGGAAUUUUGGACAAUGGGCGCAAGCCUGAUCCAGCCAUGCCGCGUGAGUGAAGAAGGCCUUCGGGUUGUAAAGCUCUUUCGGCCGGGAAGAAAUCGCAUUGGUUAAUACCUGGUGUGGAUGACGGUACCGGAAUAAGAAGCACCGGCUAACUACGUGCCAGCAGCCGCGGUAAUACGUAGGGUGCGAGCGUUAAUCGGAAUUACUGGGCGUAAAGCGUGCGCAGGCGGUUUUGUAAGACAGGCGUGAAAUCCCCGGGCUCAACCUGGGAACUGCGCUUGUGACUGCAAGGCUAGAGUACGGCAGAGGGGGGUGGAAUUCCACGUGUAGCAGUGAAAUGCGUAGAGAUGUGGAGGAACACCAAUGGCGAAGGCAGCCCCCUGGGUCGAUACUGACGCUCAUGCACGAAAGCGUGGGUAGCAAACAGGAUUAGAUACCCUGGUAGUCCACGCCCUAAACGAUGUCAAAUAGGUGUUGGGAGGGUAAAACCUUUUAGUACCGGAGCUAACGCGUGAAGUUGACCGCCUGGGGAGUACGGCCGCAAGGUUAAAACUCAAAGGAAUUGACGGGGACCCGCACAAGCGGUGGAUGAUGUGGAUUAAUUCGAUGCAACGCGAAAAACCUUACCUACCCUUGACAUGUCAGGAAGUCUUGAGAGAUUGAGAUGUGCCCGAAAGGGAACCUGAACACAGGUGCUGCAUGGCUGUCGUCAGCUCGUGUCGUGAGAUGUUGGGUUAAGUCCCGCAACGAGCGCAACCCUUGUCGUUAAUUGCCAUCAUUUAGUUGGGCACUUUAGCGAGACUGCCGGUGACAAACCGGAGGAAGGUGGGGAUGACGUCAAGUCCUCAUGGCCCUUAUGGGUAGGGCUUCACACGUCAUACAAUGGUCGGUACAAAGGGUCGCCAACCCGCGAGGGGGAGCCAAUCCCAGAAAGCCGAUCGUAGUCCGGAUUGCAGGCUGCAACUCGCCUGCAUGAAGUCGGAAUCGCUAGUAAUCGUGGAUCAGCAUGUCACGGUGAAUACGUUCCCGGGCCUUGUA